UCCCUGGUGGUCCAGUGGUGAAGACACCACACUUCUACUGCAGGGGACAGGGGUUCGAUCCCUGGUCAGGGAA
rfam:TPA: Bos taurus chromosome 25, whole genome shotgun sequence.